GUAAGGAAUAUUGGACAAUGGACGCAAGUCUGAUCCAGCCAUGCCGCGUGAAGGAUUAAGGUCCUCUGGAUUGUAAACUUCUUUUAUAAGGGACGAAAAAAGGCUUUUCUAAGUCGUCUGACGGUACCUUAUGAAUAAGCACCGGCUAACUCCGUGCCAGCAGCCGCGGUAAUACGGAGGGUGCAAGCGUUAUCCGGAUUCACUGGGUUUAAAGGGUGCGUAGGCGGGCAGGUAAGUCAGUGGUGAAAUCCUAGAGCUUAACUCUAGAACUGCCAUUGAUACUAUCUGUCUUGAAUAUUGUGGAGGUAAGCGGAAUAUGUCAUGUAGCGGUGAAAUGCUUAGAUAUGACAUAGAACACCUAUUGCGAAGGCAGCUUACUACGCAUAUAUUGACGCUGAGGCACGAAAGCGUGGGGAUCAAACAGGAUUAGAAACCGGGGUAGUCC
rnacentral:rRNA from 1 species